CAAACCCAACUGCACCCCCAAUUUAUAUAACCUCUAAAUCUCUGGGAUCCUGCACCGUUGGUUUUAGGUUGGGGCGACCACGGAGUACAACAAAACCUCCACAAUGAACGGGACUAUUCCCUUAUCUAAGAGUUACAUCUCUAAGAAUUAAUAUAUUAAUAUAAAAUGAUCCAUUUUUUGAUCAAUGAACCAAGUUACCCUGGGGAUAACAGCGCAAUCCAUUUCAAGAGCCCCUAUCGACAAAUGGGUUU
rnacentral:rRNA from 1 species